rnacentral:tRNA from 1 species
GUGCCUGUAGCUCUGUGGAUAGAGCGUCUGUUUCCUAAGCAGAAAGCCGUAGGUUCGGGCCCCUACUUGGCGCU